rnacentral:ncRNA from 1 species
UGGAACAAUGUAAGCAAGGGAAGUUGGCAAAAUGGAUCCGUAACUUUGGGAAAAGGAUUUGCUCUGAGGGCUGUGCACAGGGGUCAAAGUCCCGAACCCGUCGGUUGUCGGUGGAAUGCUCGACCUGCUCCCGCGGCGAGACCGUGUCGCCGCGUGCCAUACGGGGGAAGGACUGGGGGCGGUUCCUUCGGGGGCCUUCCUCGGGCGUCGAAUAACACACUCAGAACUGGUACGUACAAGGGGAAUCCGACUGUUUAAUUUAAACAAAGCACUGCGAUGGUCCCAACGGAUGUUUACGCAAUGUGAUAUCUGCACAGUGCUCUGAAUGUCAAAGUGAAGAAAUUCAACCAAGCACGGGUAAACGGUAGCAGUAACUCUGACUCUCUUAAGGUAUCGAAAUGCCUCGUAAUCUAAUUAGUGACGCGCAUGAAUGGAUUAACGAGAUUCCCAUUGUCCCUGUCUACUAUCCAGCGAAACCACAGCUAAGGGAACGGGCUUGG